rnacentral:ncRNA from 1 species
CAACCUCAACUCAUAUGGGACUACCCCCUGAAUUUAAGCAUAUUAAUUAGGGGAGGAAAAGAAACUAACAAGGAUUUUCUUAGUAGCGGCGAGCGAAAAGAAAUCAGUUCAGCACUAAGUCACUUUGUCUAUAUGGCAAAUGUGAGAUGCAGUGUACGGAACAUCAACAUUCUAGUAUGAGAAGUUAACGAUUUAAGUCCUUCUUAAAUGAGGCCAUUUACCCAUAGAGGGGGCCCCGCCCCCAUCACUAUAAAAAAUUCCAAAUUUGGGUUCCCACAAAUUUCGUGUUUGUUUUAAUUGCCCCCACAAAGGGGGGGGGGAAACCC